ensembl:lncRNA
AGGGGUUAUGUCAGUAGUCUAGUGUGAGGGGUUGUGUCAGUAGUCUAGUGUGAGGGGUUAUGUCAGUAGUCUAGUGUGAGGGGUUAUAUCAGUAGUCUAGUGUGAGGGGUUGUGUCAGUAGUCUAGUGUGAGGGGUUGUGUCAGUAGUCUAGUGUGAGGGGUUAUGUCAGUAGUCUAGUGUGAGGGGUUAUAUCAGGGGAGACAGUGUGUCAGUAGUCUAGUGUGAGGGGUUAUGUCAGUAGUCUAGUGUGAGGGGUUAUAUCAGGGGAGACAGUGUGUCAGUAGUCUAGUGUGAGGUGCAGGAAUAUUGUCAAGUGAACCUGGGGAGCUUUGUGUUCACAUUGACUUAAAAAAGGGAACCGGACCCCAAACUUCAAGCGAAUCGAACUGAACCCAUCUCUCGAAAUGUCUCAGUUCCGUUCACUUCUGGGGCUCUUUUGAGGGGUCAGAGUUCAUGUGGAGUGCACAUUGCACAACAAAAAUUAAGGGAACCACACUGAGUUCACAAGAAUUGUCUGAAAGGGACCAAGUGGUGAAAACACCUAGCUGCUGUGUAUACAGGACACUUCAAUGUUUACAUACUGUUUUACCCCUAGUCAUAUGUACUAGUUCAUCCUAUAUAACUACUGCUGUCCACUUCAUAUGUAUAUACUGUAUUCUAGUUCAUCCUAUAUAACUACUGUUGUCCUCUUCAUAUGUAAAUACUGUAUUCUAGU